rnacentral:rRNA from 1 species
GCCCAAUGGACAUGGAGAUGGCGCCGCCGCUACACUUCGUGCUGGUGCCGCUCCUUGCGCAGGGCCACGUGAUCCCCACGGUGGACCUGGCGCGUCUCAUCGCCGGGCGCGGCGGCACGCGCGUCACCGUUGUCCUGACGCCCGUCAACGCCGCGCGCAACAGAGCCGCUCUUGAGCACGCACGCUGCGCGGGGCUCGCCGUCGACUUCGCCGAGCUCGACUUCCCAUCGGCCGCGGCGGGCCUGCCAGAGGGCUGCGAGAGCCACGACAUGGUCAGUGACCUGUCACAUAUCAAGCUUUUCUACGACGCCAUGUGGCUGCUCGCGGGCCCGCUCGAGGCGUACCUCCGCGCGCUGCCGCGGCGGCCUGACUGCCUGGUCGCAGACACCUGCAACCCGUGGACGGCGGACGUAGCUCGACGGCUCGGCAUCCCACGGUUUGUGUUCCACGGUCCGUCAGCGUUCUUCCUCCUCGCGGCGCAUAACCUGGCCAAGCACGGUGUGCGCGACCGCGCCUCCGGCGAGUUCGAGCUGUUCGAAGUGCCCAACUUCCCGGUGCGCACGGUCGUGAACAAGGCGAUGUCGCUCGGGUUCUUCCAGUGGCCAGGGCUGGAGACGCAACGGCGCGAGACGCUCGAUGCCGAGGCCACCGCCGACGGCUUCGUCGUCAACACGUGCGCGGCCUUCGAAAGCUCGUUCAUCGAGGGCUACGCGGGGGCGCUCGACCGAAAGGUGUGGGCGGUCGGACCACUCUGCCUCCUAGACUCCGACAGCGAGACGACGGCCAGGAGAGGCGAUCGGGCGGUCAUGGACGCAGGCCGGAUCAUCUCCUGGCUCGACGCGAGGCCUCCAGGAUCCGUGCUCUACGUCAGCUUCGGCAGCAUCGCCCGCUUGUUACCGCCGCAGGUCGUCGAGCUCGCCGCCGGGCUGGAGGCGUCGGAGAGGCCGUUCGUCUGGGUGGCCAAGGAGGGCGACGACCUGGACGCCGGAUUCGACACGCUGGUGCAGGGCCGCGGCCUGGUCAUCCGUGGGUGGGCACCGCAGAUGACCAUCCUGUCGCACCCGGCGGUGGGUGGCUUCUUGACGCACUGUGGCUGGAACUCCACGCUGGAGUCUCUCUCCAAUGGCGUGCCGCUUCUGACCUGGCCUCACUUUGCUGACCAGUUCCUGAACGAGAAGCUAGUCGUUGACGUGCUUGGCGCUGGUGUUCGUGUCGGUGUGAAGGUGCCGUCGACCCACGUAUUCCUGGACCCUGAGACACCGUCAGUGCAGGUUUGGGCAGACGAUGUCGUAAGGACGGUGGCCAAGCUGAUGGACGACGGGGCGGAAGUGCGGGCAAAGGCAAUGGAGCUCGCAGCGAAGGCGAGGGAGGCCAUGUCAAAAGGCGGGUCCUCGGACAAUGACCUCGCGGGCAUGAUUCAGCAUCUCACAGAGCUCGCGAGUAAUGAGGAGAAGGAUCAACCUGUGUCUAAUACUUCAAUUGUGGCUAGGUCUAAGUUGACUAAAACUUAACCAAGUCUCAGCCAAGUGACAUGACAUUUAAGAACUAAAAGAAAAGCUGAAAAGAAAAUUUUGCGUGGAUCUUAAUGUAAGAUCUCUAGCAUCAAUUGAGGCAUAACCAAAUCUCGGACGACUGAAAUUAGCAAGACUGUUCUGAUAUGUUCCUGUAGUGACAUUUAAUAAAGUUGCAUGAUUUGUAUGGAAGAACAGACUUUUUUGUGAGACAAACUGCGGAACUAAACUGCAAAGAGGCAAUGAUAAAAGACACCCCAUAAGAUAAAAAAAUAACAAACGUGCCCUUGGUAAACCGAUUCACGACAUCCAUCAAUGCAAGAUGCUGGUUGUGGAAGAGAACAUUUGAGCUGUGACAGGUCACUAUCCGUGAAAUGGGCGCGCCUGUGGAUGUUUGACGGGCUGGAUUAGCUAUACCAGGCUGUAAAUACUUUAGAAGAAAGGGAUAUUACCAUUGUCCAUAUUUUUGUCAUGAUAAUACGUGUCUCAUUUAUAUCAUCUCUACUUCUAAUGGACGAGUUGGUGAAUAGUCCGUGCGGUUUAUUUUCGCUGGUUUAUUUUUGUUAUCCUCCCACCUCCGUUAACUCACUAUCCUUCUGCGAAAAAACCGGUGCCAAAAAAACCCAACGAUCGCUCCCUCUCUCUCUCCCUCCCGCUGCGACCCCUCCUCUCGAUCCACCCCCUCCCGCUGCGACCUCUCUCUUUCCCUCUUUCUCCCACUCCACCGCCGCCGCCCCGCCUCCCGCUUCGCCGCCAAGAGGCUAUCGAGGAGCCGGCAUCGAUAUCCGAGAGGAGUCGCCCUUCGCCGCCGCCGAGAUCCCGUGCAUCUCUACAGAUCCCUCUCGCUCUCCUCUUCGCCCAUCCACCUGGAUCAAAAGUCGAAACCCGCCGCCCCUAUGUCUCUGCUGGUGCUCGACGGAAGACGAGGGCGGCUCCUCCCAGCGAUUCCCCGUGGUCCUCGGCGGAGGCGACGGCUAGCUGCAGCGAAAAGACAAUGGGGUGAUGCUCACCUUCGCCGAGGAGAAGAUGCUCACCUUCUCGCCCCUCCCCCUACCGUGAUGUACGUGGAUGAAUCCGACGGCAACGAGGAUGACCUCGUAGGAUCCGGCCACGGUUGUGCGGAAUUUCACGGGGACGAAUCUACCCGGCUUCUCGUCCUAUCCGCCGCCGGUAGAGGCAUCCAUGUCCGAUGGUGUGAAUUUUGGCUGGUUCCAUGAGCACUUCGUUCCCUGCCGUGUAGUCUUCGUUGAUUCGGGAAGAUGGUGGUUGUCUGUUUAGCCAUUUCAAUCUGCUAUUGAUCAUGCUCAUUCUUGUUAUAUUCAGUUAUAUUGGAAACACCAUCUGAUUCAGUUAUAUUCUUGAUCAUGCUCAUGCUCAUCCUUAUUCAAAUAAGAAUACUUCUGUUUGGAGAGCUCGGGCGUCAGCUGUGUGGAAGCACCAGCUGAUUUGUAACUGGUCGGAAGGUCCUUGGGGUUGGGUGCGACAACUCGCGACUCGAAGACAUUUCGUGCAUGUGCUCCCCUGCGCUUGGUGACCAAUACAUCUACUCCGUCAUGAACAUGUGCUUCGUGUCAUACAGGUCGCCUCCAAGGGUGAGCUCGUGCAGCGGUACAGGUUAUGUGCAUUAUUGAUCAGCCAAUCUUGAGAGAGAGAUGGGUUGGCGUGAAUGGGAAGAAAACUACAUUGAAUGGACAAGAAGUAUGCCCUCAACUUUUUCAUGGCAUCGGGAUGCCCACUGCCGACGGUGCUGCAUUGCUACCAAAGGGGCACCCUGCCGCGGCUGGGGACUCGCUGCCGUCGAAGCACGACACCUUGCCGUCACGUAUGUUGGGUGUUGUGGUGCUGCAGGUCCUUGGGGUUGGGUGCGGCAACUCGAGACUCGAAGACGAUCUUCUGUGGUAGGGCGUCGCCGCCGGCGGCGGCACCUGUAUAGACCGUCUCGGUGUGACAGAAGAGUUCGGAGUUCACUCCGAGAAAGAAUUGCUUUGCAUGUACAUUUGCUGAAAGACUGAUGUGCUGAACUUUCGAUGAUUUCGAUUGGUCUCUAACAUAACCUUUCCUCUUUUUGUUGAUAUGUCCAAAAGAGAUCCUUAUUUCACCUUUUGUUUAUAGGUAUUCAACUUGAGGAAUUUCAUACUUUUGGAGUGGAGCUAUCAAAUAUAUGUGUGCUCGAUGUUGGUGUUUUAAUCCGGAUCUCUCGCUGAAGGUGCUCGAUGUUGGUGUUUGAAUACUGCUACUGUACUUCAAGCAAAGUUCUCCUAGAGGUGUGAUGUUGGUGGUGAUUUUCUUAUCCGGGGAUAUGGAUGUGGCGGGUUUGUGGGCACCAUGCUGACGCGGAGAAGGAGGUGCAAGUAGCGGGGCGCUUGAGGUGAGGUGGUUGCAGGGUCGCUCGAGAAGAACAGGCUCAUCAGCACCACCUGGAUGCCUUCGUCAUCAGCAAUGUGGACAAGGUAAAGUGGGAUGGCGGGAUUGUAUAGUGCUCAUAAGCCAGUCCGGGCAUUGUCCUUCCUCGAAUGAAUCUGAGACUACUCCUCAUAUGUUAAUCAGUUGCUCCUCCCUAGCUUUGGUUUGGUCUGAACUUCAAAGCUUUCAUCCACUCAAUGUUGAUUCAGUCAAAGAUCUCUUGGAAAAAUUAUUUCGACAAGAUUCACUCUAUAAUGUUGUUAUCAUUGUCCUCUGGAAUAUAUGGAAGCGCAAAAACUCCAAGGUCUCCCGGGAUGUUUUUGAGGAAUUGCACAUUACUGCUAGCAAGAUUGCUGAUGAUUGAUACCAUGGUCCAACAGGUAUUCACAUGAAAUUAAUAAAUGGCACCUUACGGAUUGGAGUACUCUACUGUAUCACCUAUCUAGGAGAUUUUAAUUUUUUUCCUUCUAUUAUUUCUCUUAAUCCCUGUGUACUCAUUGGACUUUGUAUAGUUCUCAGUUUUAUGAAGUGGUUCAGGCUGGCGUAAGCCGCCAUAGUCCCAGUAAAAAAAGGCUACAAGCUUCGCUUCGGCCUUUCGGAACUGAAUAUUAUGUAGUUUUAUUGAGAUUAUUGAUAGUGCUUCUCUACUAUCAAAGAAGGUAAUAGUCUCUUAUGUGUUUCUUUUUGUCCAUUUGAAUGCACUCCAUUUUUUAGUGUAUUAAUUAACAUCAAACCUCCCAUUCUUUCUAGAGUGCUGAUGUAUUAUUAUUUUCAGCUUAACACAUUUAACUUCCUAUAGAUUUCAUGGUUUAUGCAGAUUAACCGAGCUAAGAAUUUUUGUGAAGCUAAAGCUGGUGUUAAGAUGAACGCCGCUAUGUAUAUAUUUGAAACAGUUAGAUACAUGCUUGACAGACUAUAUAGGGGUGAUCAAAACCAUGCAAAGCAUUAUGGGACAAGUUUCUCUACCUUAAAUAAGUGUUCGUUCUCUCGUGUUUACUAUUCGUUUAAGGGUCAUCAACCCGUGUAUUUAUUUUCAUUGACCAAGUUUUACAUUUUUCUUCAGUAGUGUUCAUUGUGCAGUUCUAGAUUGUUAAGAGAAUAGAGUUUAUUGAUUUAUUACAUGGAGAGACCAGUAGUGUCGUAGUGGUCUUGACAUAAUUGCUAACAUUUUCUACUAGACAAGGUUUAAUUGCACUAAAUACAAAUUAGAACAUGCAUAGACAUUUAUCUUCUUUCUACAGAAUGGUUAGUGUAAACGUACUUUGAGUUGUACAUGAUUCUGUAUCUGACCAUUUUAUCUCAUACGUUGAUGUGGUUGCAGAUAUGAACUUCAAAUUAUCCUGCAAUGUAUUGACUGCUCGGAGCUAACUUCACUACGCCAGUUUUCUUUUAUGGCUCAAAGUAGUUAGUGUCCCCCCUUAUUAUGAGAGAGGUACUACUUCAAACAUCUCUUCUUAAUGUUUUAUGUCAUGGCAUACGGUAUGAGGGAGUGUUAGUUGGCUUGACUUUCGUGGCACUCAUUGAUAACCUUUCAGUUUAGGAGUUUUUGUGGCCUCUUAAUCCAUGAGAGUAUGCUCAUGUUGAAGAAGUUAGUCAUAAUGAGGGGCACCAUAAAUGUUUGUUAUCUGGCACAAAUUUCUAAUGAAUAUCACAUGUGAACCUUUUACUGUUGUGUUAUUCAAAUUUCAUUGUACUAUUCAUACAGUAAAAUAUGAGUGCCAUGUCAAAAUAUGGUUCUCGAUCUGAAAGAUCAUAUUCGAAAUUGCAGGUUCUAUGGCAGUGGAGUAAUGUUCGUAAAUUAUAUAUUGCUUUCAAGUUUGGAGCUGGAAUAAUAUAUGUGCUGCAUUUAGUUAUAGUCUUAUAGAUAUACAUGAACAUCCAUUGUAUAUUUCUUGCAAGACAUGGUAACUACUAUUAUUUUGAUUGUUUCUGUGAACUAUUUUGACCUUGAUUAAGAAGUAGAAAGUUUUUAGCCUCGUAGGUUGUUUGAUCUACUGUAUCAAGUGGCACUUGGCUUCUCAUGGCUCUCCUCGCAUUUGCCAAAACAAAGUUAGUACACACUACCUAGAGCUCUGGAAACUAGAACUGAAAAAUGGUCAUGCGGUUUAUUAGCUGAUAUAAAUCAUGCACAAUGCUCUGCAUUUAAAAAUAAACCGGACACAAAGCAGUAUACUUUUUUCCGAGUACUACCUUGAGAGAGCCAAGGGGUUCUGCAUUUUAUAAAGAAGAAGAAAGUUGCCUCGUUCCAUACAUGCUUAUCUGAGAAAUAUAUCUUAUCUAUUUAGUGGAAACCAGGCAAAAACCUACAGAUACAAAAGGCACAAAGUCCCCCACCGGUCGUGACCGAACUACUGUUUUUGGAAAUAUCACAUGAGCUAGAUUACUAACAUUGAUGUAAUGCUUGUAUGGCAAUCUAUUCCUUUAUCGGUUCAAUUACAGAGUUUUGUUAUUAUGUGAAUGGAGUAAUGGAGAGCUAAGAAAAAACAAGGUAACAGUCAGUGUUACUCUUGCGAGGUAGUUUCAAUCAUAUCAUUGUUUGCUUUCCCCUUUUCUCCUGCCUAGGUAUGUACAAUUAUUCCAACCCAGGUUUCUUUCAAGAAGGAUAUGGGUAUGUGUUUGAGGAAUGUCUACAUGAUAAAACACACCUUCAAGUUUGGUGAUAGUUAUGCUAUCAAACUUACAAUGGGGGUCUUAAUUUGUAUUUUUAAUAGAGCACUGGGUUCAUUGGUGAGACUUGUGAAGAUGUGCCUAGGCUAAAGAUGGCUGCUAUGUCGGUACCAAGUGGCAUGUGUUUAAAUGGAGUAUCCUUGUCAGGAGAGCUGAUUUCUGAAAUAUGGUACUUUAUGGGUGCAAGGAUUCACCAUGUUGCGGUCUUCGUCAGUGGAGUGGACUCCUAGGAAUUAGUCAAGGCCGCUACGUUGUUUUAAGC